rnacentral:rRNA from 1 species
AGGAACAUGUGGUUUAAUUCGAUGAUACGCGAGGAACCUUACCUGGGCUUAAAUGUAGAGUGCAUUCCCGAGAAAUCGGGAUUUUCUUCGGAACUCUUUGCAAGGUGCUGCAUGGUUGUCGUCAGCUCGUGCCGUGAGGUGUCGGGUUAAGUCCCAUAACGAGCGCAACCCUUAUCGUUAGUUGCCAGCGGGUAAUGCCGGGAACUCUAGCGAAACUGCCGGUGUAAACCGUGAGGAAGGUGGGGAUGACGUCAAAUCAGCACGGCCCUUAUGUCCAGGGCUACACACGUGUUACAAUGGCCGGUACAGAGGGCAGCUACCUGGAGACAGGAUGCGAAUCUCCAAAGCCGGUCUCAGUUCGGAUCGGAGUCUGCAACUCGACUCCGUGAAGCUGGAUUCGCUAGUAAUCGCGCAUCAGCCAUGGCGCGGUGAAUACGUUCCCGGGCCUU